GCCAGGCGUGGUGGCGCAUGUCUGUAAUCCCAGCUACUCAGGAGGCUGAGACAGGAGAAUCGCUUGAACCCAGGAGUCAGAGGUUGCAGUGAGCCAAGCUUGUGCCACUGCACUCCAGCCUGGGCAACAGAGCGAGACUCUGUCUCAA
ensembl:misc_RNA Metazoa_SRP Metazoan signal recognition particle RNA